CAUGCAGUCGACGAGAACGGGUUAAUAGUUUACUAUAACUGUCAGCUAAGUGGCGCACGGGUGAGUAAUAUAUAGGUAACGUGCCCUAGAGAGGGGGAUAACAUUUGGAAACGAAUGCUAAUACCCCAUAUGCCUUUAAGUCUUAAGACUGCAAGGGAAAUAUUUAUAGCUCUAGGAUCGGGCCUGUACGGUAUCAGUUGGGUGGGGGGAGGUAAUGGCUCACCAAGAACUAUGACGCCUAACUGGUUUGAGAGGAUGAUCAGUCACACUGGAACUGAAACACGGUCCCAGACUCCUACGGGGAGGGCAGCAGGGGGGGAAUAUUGCACAAGGGAACGAAAGUCCUGAUGCACCACCGCCCGGGUGGAGGAUGACACUUUUUCGGUGCUUAACUCCUUUUAUAAAGAAAAAUAGGGGGGGGGGGGGGGGUGAACAACCCCCCCCCAACUCCGUGCCAACAAGCCGCGGUAAAUAGGGAGGGGGCAAGCGUUACUCGGAAUCCCUGGGCGAAAAAAACGUGUAGGCGGUUUUUUAAUUUUAAAGUAAAUCCAAGGGGUCAACCUUUGGAACUGCUUUAAAAAACUGAUAAACCUAGAAAUGGGAAAAGUAAAUUGGAAAUUUUCCGGGGGAAGGGGAAACUCCGAAAAUAAAAAAAAAAAUACCGUUUGGAAAGGCGUUCUA
rnacentral:rRNA from 1 species